rnacentral:lncRNA from 1 species
AAAAAAAUCUCCAAAAAAUCCACAAAUAAUCUCCAAAAAAUCCAAAAAAAUCCCUAAAAAAUCUCAAAAAAUCCCCAAAAAAUCCCUAAAAAAUCUCCAAAAAUCCCCCCAAAAAUCUCAAAAAAUCCCGAAAAAAUCUGAAAAAAAUCCCCAAAAAAUCCCCAAAAAAUCUCAAAAAAUCUCAAAAAAUCUUCAAAAAAUCUCAAAAAAUCCCUAAAAAAUCCCUAAAAAAUCCCCCAAAAAUCCCCAAAAAAACCCUCAAAAAAUCCCAAAAAAUCCCCAAAAAAUCCCCAAAAAAAUCCCCAAAAAAUUCCCUAAAAAAUCCCAAAAAAUCCCCAAAAAUCCACCAAAAAAUCUCAAAAAAUCCCUAAAAAAUCCCCCAAAAAAAUCUCAAAAAAUCCCUAAAAAAAUCCCAAAAAAAUCUCAAAAAAAUCCCCAAAAAAUCCCAAAAAAUCCCAAAAAAUCCACCAAAAAAUCCCCAAAAAAUCCCUAAAAAAAUUCCCCAAAAAUUCCCCCAAAAAUCCCCAAAAAAUCCCCAAAAAAUCCCAAUAAAUCCCAAAAAAAUCCCAAUAAAUCCCAAAAAAAUCCCCAACAUCCCCAAAAAAUCCCAAAAAAUUCCCCAAAAAAUCCCCAAAAAAUCCCAAAAAAUCCCUCAAAAAUCCCCCAAAAAAUCCCCCAAAAUCCCUAAAAAAUCCCCCAAAAAAUUCCAAAAAAAUCCCCAAAAAUUCCAAAAAAUCCCCCAAAAAUCCCUAAAAAAUCCCCCAAAAUCCCUAAAAAAUCCCCAAAAAAUCCCUAAAAAAUCCCAAAAAAUUCCAAAAAAUCCCCAAAAAAUCCGCAAAAAAUCCCCAAAAAAUCCUCCCAAAAUCAAAAAAAAAUCCCUAAAAAAUCCGCAAAAAAUCCCUCCAAAAUCCCAAAAAAAUCCCAAAAAAAUCCCUAAAAAAUCCCUAAAAAAUCCGCAAAAAAUCCCUAAAAAAUCCCCAAAAAUCUCCCAAAAAAUCCCCAAAAAAUCCCAAAAAUUCCCCAAAAAUCCCCAAAAAAUCCCAAAAAAAUCCCCCCAAAAAUCCCCAAAAAAUCCCCAAAAAAUCCCCAAAAAAUCCCAAAAAAAUCCCCAAAAAAUCCCCCAAAAAUCCCCAAAAAAUCCCCAAAAAAUCCCCAAAAAUUCCCCAAAAAAUCCCCAAAAAAUCCCAAAAAAUCCCCAAAAAAUUCCCAAUUUUUCCCUAUUUUCCCAGCUCCUCCGCGCUUCCUCUCCCACCCGGAACCCGCCUCCGCCUUCCCGGGCGAUUCCGUCCUUUUCCGCUGCUCCGCCGCCGCCGACCCCGCCCCUUCCAUCCACUGGCAAAAAAACCAGGAAGAGCUUCUCCCGGAUUCCCGAAUUUCCCUCCUGCCCUCCGGAACCCUCCAGAUCAGCCGCAUCCGCCCGGAAGAUUCCGGAAUUUACCGCUGCGUCGCCAAGAAUCCCGCCGGAUCCCGCAGCGGCAACGACGCCGAGCUCCG